GACGAACGCUGGCGGCGUGCUUAACACAUGCAAGUCGAACGAUAAAGCCGGAGCUUGCUCUGGUGAAUUAGUGGCGAACGGGUGAGUAACACGUGAGUAACCUGCCCUUGACUCUGGGAUAACUGCGGGAAACUGUAGCUAAUACCGGAUACGACCCUCGGCGGCAUCGCCAGGGGGUGGAAAGAAUUUCGGUCAAGGAUGGACUCGCGGCCUAUCAGCUAGUUGGUGAGGUAACGGCUCACCAAGGCGACGACGGGUAGCCGGCCUGAGAGGGUGACCGGCCACACUGGGACUGAGACACGGCCCAGACUCCUACGGGAGGCAGCAGUGGGGAAUAUUGCACAAUGGGCGAAAGCCUGAUGCAGCAACGCCGCGUGCGGGAUGAAGGCCUUCGGGUUGUAAACCGCUUUCAGCAGGGAUGAAAACGACAGUACCUGCAGAAGAAGCCCCGGCUAACUACGUGCCAGCCGCCGCAGUAA
rnacentral:rRNA from 1 species